rnacentral:rRNA from 1 species
ACGCUUGCUGCAUGCUUUAUACAUGCAAGUCGAACGAAGGCCCUAGCUUGCUAGGUGUCCUUAGUGGCGCACGGGUGAGUAACACGUGGGAACAUACCUUAUAGUACGGAAUAACUGCGGGAAACUGUAGCUAAUACCGUAUAUUCCAGUAAUGGGAAAGAUUUAUCGCUAUAAGAUUGGCCCGCGCAAGAUUAGCUUGUUGGUGAGGUAAAAGCUCACCAAGGCUUCGAUCUUUAGCUGGUUUGAGAGGAUGAUCAGCCACACUGGGACUGAGACACGGCCCAGACUCCUACGGGAGGCAGCAGUAGGGAAUAUUGGACAAUGGGGGCAACCCUGAUCCAGCAAUGCAGCGUGAGUGACGAAGGCCUUAGGGUUGUAAAACUCUUUCAUCGGUGAGGAUAAUGACAGUAGCCGAAGAAGAAGGACCGGCUAAUUCCGUGCCAGCAGCCGCGGUAAUACGGAAGGUCCUAGCGUUGUUCGGAAUUACUGGGCGUAAAGCGCAUGUAGGCGGAACAGAAAGUUAGAAGUGAAAUCCCUGGGCUCAACCUAGGAAUUGCUUUUAAAACUUCUGUUCUGGAAUUCAGGAGAGGAAAAUGGAAUUUCCAGUGUAGAGGUGAAAUUCGUAGAUAUUGGAAGGAACACCAGUGGCGAAGGCGAUUUUCUGGACUGAUAUUGACGCUGAGAUGCGAAGGCAUGGGUAGCAAACGGGAUUAGAUACCCCGGUAGUCCAUGCAGUAAACGAUGGGUGCUAGUCGUCGGACUUUUGUUCGGUGUCGUAGCUAACGCGUUAAGCACCCCGCCUGGGGAGUACGGUC